rnacentral:lncRNA from 1 species
CUCAAUGCAGCUACAUAUCGGUCAUUUGUAUCUUCUUUCCUUUGCAGCUCCCCAAGGUACUCUGCCAGUCUCUCUCGAUUUACUUGGCCCAUCAUCUGAUUCACAAGUUCAGAAAAUAAAUUCUGUUGCCACAGUUGCUAACUGAUCAUGAAAGCCAAGAUUGAAUUCAGAAUUCCAGACCUUUUGUACUCCAACAGCAUGCACAAGGACAUGUGAACAUAAUGUGCGUGCUUUUAGAAUUAGAAGAGUGCUAAAUCAGGCAAUUUACUUGAACAUAGUUUUGAGUGAUAUGAUCAAGAUGGUGGCACUUAUCCAUUUCCUUUCCAAAACCAAUAUGAAAAGUGGAUGCAGAUGCUCAAGCAAAAGUAGCUCACAUCGGAGGUUGAGUUUGUUAAGUACAUUUUUUAGCCACAUGGGUACACAGGGGUUAAGAACUUUGGAGGAGAGAUCUACCUUACAAUUAUAUUCCGGUUUUAUUUCAGCAAGACAUUCAGUGAUUGAGGGGGAAAAAAAAAAAAAAAAACUGACGAGUCCGACCAUUAUAAAUGGGAUACAUAAAUGAUUGCAAGUAAAAAGCUUGAUGAUCCAUUAACAAAGUGAAAUAACAUCAACAAUAGAUGCAAUUUGUACUUUGUAGUACUCUAGACGGAAAACCAACAAGUAAAUCUAUUUUACCCUAGCUAUGAAUUAUUUUUUUUUCAAAAGAAAAUUAUAGAGUGCAGCGAAAUGAGAGAUAACUCAAUGGUUAUUGUGUCCAAAUUACUAACCCACAAAUUACUUGGAAUUCGGCGGCAUGUGCAAUAGAAAAAAAAAAGUACAAAUUAUCCAAUCAGCAAACAAGAGUAAUCCAACUAAAUGAUACCUAUUAUUUUAAGACGCAAGUUAAACUGAAAGGUUAAACAUUAUUCAACAGUCUCCCUCAUAAGAGCAUAAAAAUUCGAUCUUUUGCUUAAAAAAAAAAAAGAACUUUGUUUGAGCGUUGAGGGUUCAUUAGCUUUUUUUAUUUGAUUAUAUUGAACAAGUAUCAUGCAUCGGAUGGAAUCAAAACAGAAAUAAAUAAGAAAGACAUACGAGGGAAUCGGGCCGGGCGGUCCUGCGUAGCUCCGCUUCAAGCUGGGGGUUGCGGGAGUUGGUGGCCUGCAUGACGCAAUAGCCAACGACCCCCGGAACGACGCCGCAUACUGUUGCGAAUGCCAAAAAGAACGGCUUCGAAUCCCGUG